GCUGUUGAGGCUGUACAGCCAGGACCUGACGGUGGGGUGGCUGCGGGCCUUCUGCAGGUCUCCCACGUUGUGGCCCAGCAGCGCAGUCACGUUGC
ensembl:miRNA